UGUUCGGUUCAGCACCUGCACACUUGAAGGCUGAAGUUACAAGCUGACACUGAUAACAGGGAAGAUAAGAGAUGCUAAACAUCACCAUGAAGCUGCUGACUGUGUCUACACUUCUCUGCGCAAUGGUGGCUCUGGGCACUGCUGCUGCACUUCCAGAUGAAGUGGCCAGUAAUGGGACAGAGGCAUUAAUUUCAGCAG